GAUAAGGAACUUAGAUAGUUUUGUAUGUGUUUAUCUGCAUAAAUUUAAAUUCUUUAUGUAUUGAACAUAUUCAUUCUUCCUCAAAGUAUUGUCAAGAAAAUUGAAAAAAUUUGCAGAAUGUUUUUGUGGGGUCAAAAUGGCAAUAGAAGUAAGAUUCAUAUUGCCUCUUCAGACAAGGUUAGUUUGUCUAAGAAAUAUGGAGGCUUAGGAUUCAGAAAUGGAUCGAAGUGGAAUUGUGCUAAUCUUGCCAAGUUUCUUUAGGUAAUAAUGCCAAAGUAUGAUGUCCUAUGGGUCAAAUGGGUAAACACAAUUUAUUUGAAAGGAGAAAACUUAUGGAGUUAUAAGCUGCCCCAAGAUACCAGAUGGUACCAGAGGAAGUUGUGCAAUCUGACUUGAUUUCAGUGAUAACAACCUACAGGCAGCAAGUAUAUCGGAGUAUUAUCAAGAUCUGAACCUGGAUUUCUUUCUCUGAAUCCUUGAUGCUGAAACUCCUUUGCUGAUGAUCUUUCUUCACGAUCUUCCUCACUAUGGUUGAGGUAUCACUUGCUGUAUGUGGGCACUAUUCUCACACUAAGAAUUUCGAAAUAUUGAAAAAGAAAAGAAGAGGCAAGUGGCGGCUAAAGAUAGGGAGAGAGAGACUCAAUUUUUUCUGAAUGAGAAGUGUUAGAAGAAAAGUGUAAUUUUCCUGAAGCCUUCACUAUCUAUUUAUAGCAUUCCACUAGGGUUAGGUUUGAAUUAUUUGGCAUUAAAAUAAUGAAAAUAUCAGUUUAAAUUGCCUACAAAA